GUGAAGAACAGUCAAUGCUCUGAAUUGCUUGCAGUCUGACUAGAGGCACAGAGACUUAGCUAAAUUACUACCAACUUACAGAGAAACCUUUGGGUAAGUCUCUGCGCCUCUACUCAGACUGCAAGCAAUUUGGGGUAUUGACUGCUUCAAUUUGUGUUUGGACAGUACUAGUGUGGUAGGCGCUACCAUGAAAUGCUUGACUCUGCAUUAAGAUGCCACUACGGUUGCAAAGCCAACUACUCAAAAGGAUAUUUCCCACACAAUGUAUCCCCCUGCCUCUCAGCAAGAAUGCUAACCCUGAAAUGAUGACAAUAACUAUGUACCCAGUUCCAGGAAUGCUGAAGACUCAAGUGCCCAGGAAGUCUAGAGGCCACCACCCUUUCCAACAGAGCAGGUUGAAAACCACUGGCCUAGACCAUCCUAUCUAACUAGUGUCCAUAAACCACAUCAUGGCAUUGGCAGGAGGAACAGUGAUUCAGAGUAACAGAGACUGCUGUGGACCAGAGACCAAACACAUUAGU
rnacentral:lncRNA from 1 species